CAACCUUGAGUCCUUGGCUGAGUGGGGCAUGAACAUUUUUUUUUCGGAAAAGUCUUUCCUGUCAACCCUCUUGCCUCAUUGGAAGAGAAGACAGUGGAUGUUGAUGUUUCUUUCAUCAUGUGUGCUUGCAUUUAUAUCUCUGUGUAUUGUUUUCAUGCUUUUUAGGCUGAAUUCCUCUGGUUGUUGGACAUGAACAUGUGCCUCUGGUAAACAAAAUUCGACCGUUCCUCCGGUUACUUUUACUGGAUUUGAUAGCUAAAUGCUUGAAGUGAGCCUACCAGAACUUGUUUUGAAAGCUGAAGAGGCGAAUCUGCUCAUAUCUGUUGCAAUCGUGUGGAUCAAUGCAGAGAUCCUAACAAUGAGCUGCACAUUCAAGAAGUCGAAGCAAGCUAGCUGCUGCACUGAUGGCUCUGCCCUCAAUGGGCCCUCCAGCAUUCACUGCGCAAUGAUCGCUUCAUUUGUAGCUCUGAUUGAGGUUUUAAACACUUACUCACUUCCCUACAAAGCUACACACAUUCAUGCAUUUUUUGCGUGUCUUUGUUCAUGUAAAAAGGCUGUUGAUCUGUUUCAUCUGAUGUGUGUGACUGAUUAGAUUGCAAAUACAUUUUACUAGAAUUUUACGUGAGGAAAUUAGGCUUAGAUUAUGAGUUUGAAGUUUUUGCAAUAAACAAACUUAUAAUCCUUGAUUUA